ensembl:lncRNA
GUUCGGGCGUCACAACAGAUUUCCAUUAGAUGAAAAUAUAAAUCCUGCACUAUAUAAUACUGUAUGUUUUGAAUCUCAUUUCAUGUGACUGUGGUCUAUAUUCUACUGCUGCCAAUCACUGUUUUUGUGGGUUUCGCCACCUGCAUUGAUCAAAGAAUUGGUCCAUAAUUUGCAUAAUAAUAUAAAUUCUCCACUAAAAGCCUAACAGGAGUAUUUUUAUUCUUUUAAAUCGUUAUUUUAGGUAGAUUGUCCAAUCUUAGAAUGACUUGCUAUGAAUAUCUGGAAACCAUAUUCCUCCUUCAUCGCAUGAGUUUAUUAGUUGUUGUUAUUGAUCUUGGGGAUUUUGUCUCUUCACAGGAAGGCUGUGACUAUUUUUUUUUUUUAAUUUUAUUUCCAUAAACCAGCUUGGAGGGAAAGUGUUAUAGAUGCUUUUUGUCUUUUUGUUGUUUUCUUAAAUCCACCUUUGGUAUAAUAACUUCUAGAUUUGUCCCACAAGAAUAAAAGCAAGCUUUUCUACGUUCCACUCCCUCAUACUCCUGGUGGAUUCGACUCAUUCGGGUUUUCAAUGAGGUUUGAAUAUUUACUGGGUAUUUCAUCUUUAUCAGUCUAAACCUUGAGGGUCCUUGAACCACAUGCCUUUACAAUACUCACUCAAAAGGACAUUAUUAGUAUGAGGGGACCAAGAAUUGAAAGCCUUUUGCCAGUGACAUUAGGAGGUUCCUAUUCCAUCCUGUCAGCAAAGUAGUGAAACUGAUAUAUUUGGAUCACUUUCUGGUUAGAAGUAAGUAAGAGUGUGGCCACAUUUGGGUAUUGGCCCUUUUAAUUGAAAGAUGAUUUUCUAAUAGUCAUCAAUUCUGCAGUUGCUAUCAGUUCAGUUCCAAUUGAUUACAUUUAGUAGUUACUAACUGUACAUAUUAAUAAAUAUUAAGACUUAUUUUCUGGAGUAAUGCAUAAGUUAAUAAAAAUAAACACAAAAAUUGAGCAGUAUACAGGCUCUGUAAAAAUACUAUUAUUCCAAGGAAAGCAAACGGAGGAAAAACAUAGUUUAUGCUGCAAAGGUUUAUAAUCAUUUCUAUAAAUUUGGGUUUAAUCAUUGUUUUUGUCAGAGAGGUAGAGUUUAGUUUUGCAUCAUUCUCUUGUCUUCUCUUUAAAU